CCGUUAAACCCCCCACUUCUCAAGGUUGACC
rnacentral:rRNA from 1 species